GAUGAACCACUGCGAAAGCAUUUGCCAAGGAUAUUUUCAUUAAUGAAGAAUGAAAGUUGGGGGAUCGAAGACGAUCAGAUACCAUCCUAGUCUCAACCAUAAACGAUGUCGACCAAGGAUUGACGGAUGUUGCUCUAAGGACUCGGCCAGCACCUUAUGAGAAAUCAAAGUGUUUGGGCUCCGGGGGGUGUAUGGUCGCAAGGCUGAAACUUAAAGGAAUUGACGGAAGGGCACCACCAGGAGUGGAUCCUACGACUUAAUUUGACUCAACACGGGAAAACUUACCAGGUACAGACAUAGUAAGGAUUGACAGAUUGAGAGCUCUUUUUUGAUUCUAUGGGUGGUGGUGCAUGGCCGUUCUUAGUUGGUGGAGUGAUUUGUCUAGUUAAUUUCGAUAAUGAACGAGACCUCAACCUGCUAACUAGCUACGCGGAGGUUCCCCUUCGCGGCCAGCUUCUUAGAGGGACUAUGGCCGUUUAGGCCAUGGAAGUUUGAGGCACUAACAAGUCUGUGAUGCCCUUAGAAGUUUUGGGCUGCACGCACACUACACUGAUGCAGUCAACGAGUUUUUCUCCUUGGUUCGAGAGGAUCGGGAAAUCUUCUCAAAUUGCAUUGUGAUGGGGAUAGACCCUUGCAAUUAUUGGUCUUCAAUGAGGAAUUCCUAGUAAGCGUCUGUCAUCAGCUCAUGUUGACUACGUCCCUGCCCUUUGUACACACCGCCCGUCGCUCCUACCAAUUGAAUGAUCUGGUGAAGUGUUCAGAUUGCGUCAAUGAGGGUGGUUCGCCAUCGACGAUGUUGUGAGAAGUUCACUGAACCUUAUCAUUUAGAGGAAGAAGAAGUCGUAACAAGGUUACCGUAGGUGAACCUGCGGUAGGAUCAUUG
rnacentral:ncRNA from 1 species